rnacentral:rRNA from 1 species
CACUCCUGCGGGAGGCAGCAGUGGGGAAUUUUGGACAAUGGGGGCAACCCUGAUCCAGCAAUGCCGCGUGAGUGAAGAAGGCCUUCGGGUUGUAAAGCUCUUUUGUCAGGGAAGAAACGGUGGUGGCGAAUAACUACUACUAAUGACGGUACCUGAAGAAUAAGCACCGGCUAACUACGUGCCAGCAGCCGCGGUAAUACGUAGGGUGCAAGCGUUAAUCGGAAUUACUGGGCGUAAAGCGUGCGCAGGCGGUUGUGUAAGUCAGAUGUGAAAUCCCCGGGCUCAACCUGGGAAUUGCAUUUGAGACUGCACGGCUAGAGUGUGUCAGAGGGGGGUAGAAUUCCACGUGUAGCAGUGAAAUGCGUAGAUAUGUGGAGGAAUACCGAUGGCGAAGGCAGCCCCCUGGGAUAACACUGACGCUCAUGCACGAAAGCGUGGGGAGCAAACAGGAUUAGAAACCCGUGUAGUCCCA